UACGUAGGGGGCAAGCGUUAUCCGGAUUUACUGGGUGUAAAGGGAGCGUAGACGGCAGUGCAAGUCCGGAGUGAAAGCCCGGGGCUCAACCCUGGGUCUGCUCUGGAAACUGUAAAGCUGGAGUGCGGGAGGGGCAGGCGGAAUUCCUGGUGUAGCGGUGAAAUGCGUAGAUAUCAGGAGGAACACCGGCGGCGAAGGCGGCCUCCUGGACCGUAACUGACGUUGAGGCUCGAAAGCGUGGGGAGCAAACAGG
rnacentral:rRNA from 1 species